UGUGUAGGCGGGCGGGUAAGUCGGACGUGAAAACUCCAGGCUUAACUUGGAGCGUGCGUUCGAAACUGCCUGUCUUGAGUACGGGAGAGGAAAGCGGAAUUCCUGGUGUAGCGGUGAAAUGCGUAGAUAUCAGGAGGAACAUCGGUGGCGAAGGCGGCUUUCUAGCCCGAUACUGACGCUGAGACACGAAGGCUAGGGGAGCAAACA
rnacentral:rRNA from 1 species